rnacentral:tRNA from 1 species
GGAGAGAUGGCUGAGUGGUCGAAAGCGACCGCCUCGAAAGCGGUUAUUCUGGGAAAUCUGGAAUCGUGGGUUCGAAUCCCACUCUCUCCA